CGCUCAGAUCCCGACCCAUGGGCCCUGAGCAGCAGCCCGACUGCCCCCCCACCCAAGGGCGACCUGGCCGGCGGCUGGGAGGAGCCUUUGCAGGAUGAGUCAGCUCUCUUGGGAACAACUCCGCUUCCAGCCCAGCUGGGCUCAGCCCAAACGUUUGAGUGCCAUCUCAGGCCUCUCCAUGGUCCUCUUGGUUCCCUCUCUGUCACUGCAGAGCUGACCUCUGGGGACCAGCAGGGUCACUUCGCCCCUAGGAAAGCUGCCCUUUCUGGGGUACCCCUUUCCAGAGGUGGGAUCAGCCCGAUGCUCCUCCUUCCUCUUUUGGAAUGGUCAUUAAACCUAGGGCCUUUGCACUGAACUACAUUCCCAGCUCCCUCUCCCACCCCUUUAUUUUUGGGGGCAGAGUCUUGCUAAGUCUCUAAGUUGCCCAGGCUGGGCUCAAACUUGCAACCCUCCUGCCUCAGCCUCCUAGAGUGCUGGGGUUGUAGGUGUGCCCAGCUCUGGCAGCUCCUUGACUCUAGCUUGGUUUCUACAUCUGCAUUCCUGGAGAAGGAGACAGGAUGCUCAUUGCAUCCACAGAGAGCAGAGGUCCUGGUCACCUGGGAAGCAAGCAACACAGCCAGAUGGCCAGGCCCUGGUGCUGGCUCCACAUUAUCUGGGACAGUGAGCAUGUUUGGCCUGCUCAGACCUGCCACGCUGGCCCCUGUGACUCACCGGCUCCUCUCUGAUGCCUCCCAGGAGAGGGAGGGCAGGGCCCUGCUGGCUCCAGCUGAGCUCCGGGGAAAGCCCGGUGGGGCAGUGAGGGAGGGCUUGCUGAAGAGGCUGUCCCAGCUGCAGGACACCUGUCAUUGGAACUAGAAGCACCUAAACCCAGGAUGAUCUCAAGAUGCAAGGUGGUGCACUCUGGGAGGCUGAGGCAGAAGGAUCACAAAUUCAAGCCAAUCUGGGUAACUUAACUAGACUCUGUCAAAACGCAAAAAUAGAAAAGAGCUGCUGGGUAUGUAUCUCAAUGCAGAAUGCCCUAGAUUCAAUUCCAAGUUCUGAAAAAAAAAAUCCUUGACUACAAGUGCAAAGAUCCUGUUUAUUAUGUAUUAUGUGGUUCCCAGGGCUGCUUGCUGCAUCCCCCCUCUCCCCCUGCAUAUGGGUCCUCCAGCUUGAUCAGGAGGACCCCAGUGAGGGCUGCUUUGGCUCCCACCCACCUCUGACUGUUCCAGAAUGAAGAGUCCAGGCCAGUACAGGAUGCUGCCUUCCUCAAAACCUCCUCUGUACUGGACAGGCGGAUGCCUGGAAUUCCACAGGAAUUCCCCUGGGAACCUAGUGACCGAAACCAAGGCAGCUCUGAGGCUGGGGCCCAGGCUGAGCUGGUACAGCUCUGAUCUGCACUCUGGUGGGGCCCUGGCUCCUGCCUGUGGGUCCCCUUGAAAUUACACACACACACACACAUACACACACACACACACACCCCUAGGAGUCACAGACAGCCCCGGCACCACAGCUGUGGAAUCGCAUCUUCGCUGCAUGCACAAGGCCUGGCCUGCAGCACAGCCGGAGCCACACCUGUCCACAGGGCCACCUGAGACUGCUUGGGGGCACGUCGGUCUAGUCUGAACGUGGAUCCUGCUCUGCAGCC
ensembl:lincRNA